CACCCCGGGCCCGAGGCCCCGCCCCGCCUCCCGAGGCCCGGGCAGGCCGGCCCGCGCCCCCACGUGCCGGGCGACCCCCCCCCGCCGAGCCGCCCCCCACCCCCGCCCGCAGGCCCUUGCCUCAGACACCUCCUCCUCCUCCUCCUCCUCCUCCUCUUCCUCGUCCUCGUCGUCGUCGUCGUCGUCCUCGUCCUCGUCCUCCUCGCUGUUGUUGCUGCUGGGGCCGCCGGGGCCGGGGCCCGGGCCGGCGGGGCCGUGGUCGCUGUCGCUGCUGCUGUCGCUGCUGCUGGGGGGGCGGCAGGUCCGGCUGCGCUUGGCCUUGGGGUUCUGCGGCGGCGGCUUCUUCUUAAGGAGCAGGUCGCACACCCGCACCAGCCCGCGGGGGGCCGGGGACGAGCCGCCGCCGGGGCAGCCGAGCUCCCCGGCAGGGGGGGCCGCCGCCGCCGCCGCCGCGGGGGGCUCCCGUCUCCCUCCGCCUCCGCCGGGGCAGUCGCCUUCUCCAUCCCCGGGACCAGGCCGGGGGGCGCGGGGGCUCCGCUCAACCGCGACGGAAGCUCUCCGCGGUCGGGGCCGGGGCCGCCGCCGCCACCGCCUCGGUCACCUCUACUGCCGCCGCCGCCGCCGCCGCCGCGGCUCCGCCAGCUCUCACCACCUCUCGCGAUACUGAGGGCGGGGAGCCGUAGCGCCCUCCGCGGGGCGGGGAGGGCCGGAGAGGGGGGGGGCUGCGGAGAAGGGGGAGGCCCGGGGGGAGGGGGCCGAGCAGGGAGACGGGCCCCGAUCAGCCGGAAGGACGGAGGCAGGCAGGGAGGGGAGGGCUUCUCUUGGGCUUCCGUUCCCGGGCGCCGUGGGAGGGGGCCGCGCCGCCGCGCGCCGGUGGCCAGGCCGCCUCGGGUGCCUUUCCUCUUCGUUCCCCCUCAAAUACACCCACACACGCCUACCUUCCCUCCCUGCUCCUGUCCCCUCACCUCCCUCUCUGGCUCCCUCCCUUACCACCGAGGAGUGAGGGCUGCGCAGGCGCGGCCGGAAGCGCCUCUGACGUCAUCAGGCCUCGCCGCACGCUGCGCGCUCCGGCCAUGA
rnacentral:lncRNA from 1 species